rnacentral:rRNA from 1 species
UACAGAGGGUGCGAGCGUUAAUCGGAAUUACUGGGCGUAAAGCGUGCGUAGACGGUUAUUUAAGUCGGGUGUGAAAGCCCCGGGCUCAACCUGGGAAUUGCAUUCGAGACUGAAUAGCUAGGGUACGGUAGAGGGAAGUGGAAUUUCCGGUGUAGCGGUGAAAUGCGUAGAUAUCGAGAGGAACACCUGCGGCGAAGGCGGGUUGCUGGGCUGACACUGACGCUGAUGCGCGAAAGCUAGGGGAGCGAACGGG